rnacentral:misc_RNA from 1 species
AAAGUCGUAACAAGGUAACCGUAGGUGAACCUGCGGUUGGAUCAUUAACAAAUUAUUUAGGCCCCUGGCUGUCCCAAAAGGGCGAAGGGGGGACAACCUAAACAUUUGUGUGCACCAUAUCUGUCCUUGGUAGUUCGAGUGUCCUGGGUUGCGUAACUGCUCCAGGUACCUACUGAAGCGAGCCUUCGGGAUUGCUGAUGUUGGGCUGCCGCCUUUUGAACAAACCUAUUGUAUAUUUGUUUUGUCUGAAAUUGUUUGAUCUUAUGAUUGAAUUUAAAUACAACUUUUGACAACGGAUCUCUUGGCUCUC